UACGAAGGGUGCAAACGUUUGCUCGGAAUUAUUGGGCGUAAAGCGCACGUAGGCGGCUUAGCAAGUCGGAAGUGAAAGCCCUCGGCUCAACCAAGGAAGUGCUUUCGAAACUGCUGAGCUUGAGUACUUAAGAGGAUCGCGGAAUUCCCGGUGUAGAGGUGAAAUUCGUAGAUAUCGGGAGGAACACCAGUGGCGAAGGCGGCGAUCUGGGAAGAUACUGACGCUGAGGAGCGAAAGCGUGGGGAGCGAACAGG
rnacentral:rRNA from 1 species